AAGCGGUGGAUGAUGUGGAUUAAUUCGAUGCAACGCGAAAACCUUACUACCCUUGACAUGUCUGGAACCUUGGUGAGAGCCGAGGUGCCUUCGGGAGCCAGAACACAGGUGCUGCAUGGCUGUCGUCAGCUCGUGUCGUGAGAUGUUGGGUUAAGUCCCGCAACGAGCGCAACCCUUGUCACUAGUUGCCAUCAUUUGGUUGGGCACUCUAGUGAGACUGCCGGUGACAAACCGGAGGAAGGUGGGGAUGACGUCAAGUCCUCAUGGCCCUUAUGGGUAGGGCUUCACACGUCAUACAAUGGUCGGUACAGAGGGUUGCCAAGCCGCGAGGUGGAGCCAAUCCCACAAAGCCGGUCGUAGUCCGGAUCGCAGUCUGCAACUCGACUGCGUGAAGUCGGAAUCGCUAGUAAUCGCGGAUCAGCAUGUCGCGGUGAAUACGUUCCCGGGUCUU
rnacentral:rRNA from 1 species